rnacentral:pre_miRNA from 1 species
AGGAAACAACCACAGUGGCCGAGGCCAGCUCUGGAGCCCUGGAGUCAGCCCCCGCAGUAGCUCCAGAGCUCUCCGUCUGCAGAGCCUGGAGGCUCCGGGCGGGG